AAAGCCACGGACUUGCCCAGCCCCACCUCCCCACUCUUCCUGUAGCUCUGAAGGCUCAGUGAUCUCGGCUACUGUCCCACCUGCUCAGGAAGCCCAGAGUGUCUCCACUGCUCAGCCAUGCUCCUGCUGCUCAUCUCAGUGCUUGACGUGAUUUUUGCCCCAAGAGGAAUCGGAGCUCAGUCGGUGACCCAGCCCGAUGCCCAUGUCACUGUCUCUGAAGAAGCUGCUCUGGAGCUGAGGUGCAACUAUUCCUAUGGUGGAACUCCUUAUCUCUACUGGUACGUGCAGUACCCCAACGAAGGCCUCCAGCUUCUCCUCCGGUACUUUUCAGGGAACACCUUGGUUAAAGGCAUCAAAGGUUUUGAGGCUGAAUUUAGGAAGACUGAAUCCUCCUUCCACCUGAGGAAACACUCAGCGCAUGGGAGUGACACGGCCAAGUACUUCUGUGCUGUGAGUGACACAGUGUCUGGGACUGCAGGUGGAGCUGAACACAAACCUCCUGAGACACUGGGACUUUUUGUGACUCAGGACCUCAAGAGAGAGUUUCCCCAGAUCUCUUCCUCAGUGAAGAAAUAUAGGGCAGGACAGGCUGGGCUCUGGGAAACGCUUUAUUCUUGA